AUUGAACGCUGGCGGCAGCAACACAUGCAAGUCGAGCGGCAGCGACUUAACUGAACUUUCGGGGAAUGUUAAGGGCGGCGAGCGGCGGACGGGUGAGUAAUGCCUGGGAAUAUGCCCGAUGUGGGGGAUAACUAUUGGAAACGAUAGCUAAUACCGCAUAAUCUCUUCGGAGCAAAGAGGGGGACCUUCGGGCCUCUCGCGUCAGGAUUAGCCCAGGUGGGAUUAGCUUGUUGGUGAGGUAAUGGCUCACCAAGGCAACGAUCCCUAGCUGGUCUGAGAGGAUGAUCAGCCACACUGGAACUGAGACACGGUCCAGACUCCUACGGGAGGCAGCAGUGGGGAAUAUUGCACAAUGGGGGAAACCCUGAUGCAGCCAUGCCGCGUGUGUGAAGAAGGCCUUCGGGUUGUAAAGCACUUUCAGUAGGGAGGAAGGUAGUGUAGUUAACACCUGCAUUAUUUGACGUUACCUACAGAAGAAGCACCGGCUAACUCCGUGCCAGCAGCCGCGGUAAUACGGAGGGUGCGAGCGUUAAUCGGAAUUACUGGGCGUAAAGCGCAUGCAGGCGGCCUGUUAAGUCAGAUGUGAAAGCCCGGGGCUUAACCUCGGAAUUGCAUUUGAAACUGGCAGGCUAGAGUCUUGUAGAGGGGGGUAGAAUUUCAGGUGUAGCGGUGAAAUGCGUAGAGAUCUGAAGGAAUACCAGUGGCGAAGGCGGCCCCCUGGACAAAGACUGACGCUCAGAUGCGAAAGCGUGGGGAGCAAACAGG
rnacentral:rRNA from 1 species